AAGUCGUAACAAGGUUUCCGUAGGUGAACCUGCGGAAGGAUCAUUAAAGAAUUAGGCUUCGCGGCCAAGUUCUCACCCUUUGUAUACCGAAACCAUGUUGCUUUGGCGGCCCUGCCAUUUCUCUGGGCCUGGCCCAGCAGGUUGAUUAAACCCACUAGAAUCUCUGCUGUCUGAGUACUAUGCAAUAGUUAAAA
rnacentral:misc_RNA from 1 species